ACCAGGGUGGUGCAGUGGUUAGCGCAUCUGCCUAGUGAGCAGAAGAUACAGGUUCAAAUCCUGGCAUUGGUA